AUUGAACGCUGGCGGCAUGCCUUACACAUGCAAGUCGAACGGUAACAGGUUAAGCUGACGAGUGGCGAACGGGUGAGUAAUACAUCGGAACGUGCCCAGACGUGGGGGAUAGCUCGGCGAAAGCCGGAUUAAUACCGCAUAAGCUCUGAGGAGGAAGGGGGGGAACGUAAGGGCCUGCGCGUUUGGAGCGGGCCGUGGGGGAUUAGGUAGUUGGGGGGGUAAAGGCUUACCAAGCCCACGAACUGUAGCUGGUCUGAGAGGACGACCAGCCACACUGGGACUGAGACACGGCCCAGACUCCGACGGGAGGCAGCAGUGGGGAAUUUUGGACAAUGGGCGAAAGCCUGAUCCAGCAAUGCCGCGUGCAGGAUGAAGGCCUUCGGGUUGUAAACUGCUUUUGUACGGAACGAAAAGGCGCCUACUAAUACUGGGUGUUGAUGACGGUACCGUAAGAAUAAGCACCGGCUAACUACGUGCCAGCCGCCGCAGUAA
rnacentral:rRNA from 1 species